AACGAACGCUGGCGGCAUGCCUAACACAUGCAAGUCGAACGAAGGCUUCGGCCUUAGUGGCGCACGGGUGCGUAACACGUGGGAAUCUACCCUUAGGUUCGGAAUAACUCAGGGAAACUUGAGCUAAUACCGGAUGAUGUCGUAAGACCAAAGAUUUAUCGCCUUUGGAUGAGCCCGCGUAGGAUUAGCUAGUUGGUGGGGUAAAGGCCUACCAAGGCGACGAUCCUUAGCUGGUCUGAGAGGAUGAUCAGCCACACUGGGACUGAGACACGGCCCAGACUUCUACGGGAGGCAGCAGUGGGGAAUAUUGGACAAUGGGCGCAAGACUGAUCCAGCAAUGCCGCGUGAGUGAUGAAGGCCUUAGGGUUGUAAAGCUCUUUUACCAGGGAUGAUAAUGACAGUACCUGGAGAAUAAGCUCCGGCUAACUCCGUGCCAGCCGCCGCAGUAA
rnacentral:rRNA from 1 species